AAGAAAAGGCAAACGAAGAUAAAAUCCUUAGCCACACCUUCAUUUUUGUUCCAAGUGUGCGCCAGCAUCGUGACCAUCUCUAUACCCAAAAAACGCACCUCAACCACCAACAUCACUACAAACACCUUUCAUGUUUGACUUGUAAUCAUCUGGAUAUCAAAAAUGCUCACCGACAUCCCGAUUCAUCACUGAUGAAGACUUCUUAAACAUGAAUAUGACAUAGCUUUACAUAUAUAAAAAAGAUUGAACCCCAAUGAAGUUGAUACCACUGUUAAAGAGAUUAAAUUUUCAGCUUCCAAAUAAGGAAAAAUGUCCAUGUUGAAAGCGCAUAAGGCAGUUGAAAAAAAGUGAAGAAGAUGACCUACGAAGGCCAUCGACGGUCUUUACUGUCUGUAGGUGGUGACUGUCGAUGUACAAUUCAGGAAAAGGGAGAAGACCGGGGAUAUCUGACUAAGUGUGGAACCACGAGAGCAGACGAUCCGUCGAUUGAUCGGACCGUACUAGUGAACCGUCGAUUGGUUCAGAAAAGGUUCCAGUUACUGACUUCUUCACGAUUCUAAGUGUGGAACGACUUAAGAGCAUCGACGGGGCGUAGAUGGAUCGACGGGGCGUAGAUGGAUCGACGGACUGUACUGCUGGUUCGUCGUUUGUUUCUGAGAAGGUGCUAUCUGGUGAAAAAAAUUAUUUACAAGUAUGGACUGAUGGAGGCAGUCGAUGAACCGUCGUUCAGUGGGUUGGUCGAUUGAAUCCGCGUUUCUGGACAUAACUUUCCUUAUUUAAAUUCCUUUUUCGUUAUGAUAAUGUUUUAUAUAAAUGGGGGAUUAAAACCUCGUUUAGCUACUAUUAUUAUUGUUCUUUUUUGUGUUGGAGAUUUUUGGUUGAA